rnacentral:rRNA from 1 species
GAAACCCAAAGGCGAAAUGAAAGUAAAGAGUGGAAUAUUGUAUUUAAGGGUUUGUCCCUUAUUUAUCAAUUUCCCUCAAGGGAAGAUGGAAAGUUACUCUUUAAUGGUAUAUAGUUUUUUCAAAAAAAUUAUAUUUCUAUUAUUGAACUAACUUUCUCGCAUUCCCGGGGCGCUUGUUUCUCGCUUCGCGAGUCGAUGCGCACCUAGAGCGUACACGCUGAUACCCGAAAGAUGGUGAACUAUGCCUGGCCAGGACGAAGCCAGGGGAAACCCUGGUGGAGGUCCGCAGCGAUUCUGACGUGCAAAUCGAUCGUCGGAGCUGGGUAUAGGGGCGAAAGACCAAUCGAACCAUCUAGUAGCUGGUUCCCUCUGAAGUUUCCCUCAGGAUAGCUUGCGCUCGGUUGAGACGAGUCUCAUCCGGUAGAGCGAAUGAUUAGAGGCAUUGGGGUCGAAACGACCUCAACCUAUUCUCAAACUCCAAAUAGAUGAGACCCCCGGCUUUCUUAAAAGUGAAGCCGUGGGACUAGGAUCAGAGUGCCAAGUGGGCCAAUUU